UGUGAAAGUGCUGUGUGUGAUGGGUGUGAGAGUGCUGUGUGUGAGAGUGCUGUGUGUGAUGGGUGUGAGAGUGCUGUGUGUGAUGUGAGUGAGAGUGCUGUGUGUGAGAGUGCUGUGUGUGAUGUGAGUGAGAGUGCUGUGUGUGAGAGUGCUGUGUGUGAUGGGUGUGAGAGUGCUGUGUGUGAUGUGAGAGUGCUGUGUGUGAUGGGUGUGAGAGUGCUGUGUGUGAUGGGUGUGAGAGUGCUGUAUAAAUGUUAG
rnacentral:lncRNA from 1 species